rnacentral:misc_RNA from 1 species
GAUGAAGAACGUAGCGAAAUGCGAUAAGUAAUGUGAAUUGCAGAAUUCAGUGAACCAUUGAAUCUUUGAACGCACAUUGCGCCCGGCAGUAAUCUGCCGGGCAUGCCUGUCCGAGCGUCAUUUCUACCCUCGAGCGAGUCCAGCAUCUAGGUGCUGGGCCUCGCCCGGCGUUGGAGCACUACGGGAAGCCCUGUGCUGUCCCCCGUAGGCCCCGAAAUGAAGUGGCGGUCCUGCCGCGGCGCCCCCUGCGUAGUAUAACAGCUCGCUUCGGGACCCGGUGGAGGCCUGCCGUCAAACCUAUACUCUCUAAGUUUGACCUCGGAUCAGGUAGGGUUACCCGCUGAACUUAAGCAUAUCAAUAAGCGGAGGA